GCUCCCAGACACGUGCCACUCCUGAAUGCAUCUGAUAAACUCACUCACACUGAGGCCUUGGGGACUGAGGGCCUGGCGGAUCGCGGGUGCCCAGGCGCUUGGAGGCCGCCUCCUCCGGGAAGCCCGCCCAGGUUCUGCUGCACUCGCACAGGCAAUACCGCUGGGCCUUCCUGGCUGCCCCUGUUGGCCCCAAUCCCCCCACCCCCUGCAAGGUCUGUGCCUCUCCUGCAGCCCCGCCACCAACUAGGGCUAGAGGAGCUCGCCCCCACCCAAACGUAUUGGUGUGAUGAAGGAAGGGCCCGUGGUUCUGCCACUCGCCCUGGACACCCAGCGCUGGCUCCCCGUGGAAGUCCCCCUGGACUGAGUAGAGGCUGGGUGGCCUAGUGGUUUGCGACCUGGGGCCUCUGACUUCUAUCAUGUUGGGAAAGUCAUUGAACCUCACUGGUGAAACGGGCACAGUGAAGUCAUUUCCCCGAAGUCUCAGGACUGUGUGUAAGGCUCCAGACAGGGGCUGUGGGGUCCUAAGGGCACCUUGGGAACUGCAGGAGCCCAUCCUGCCUCCACAAGACACUCACUCCUGGCAGGGUCCCCUCUCCGGGCAGAGCCCAGAUUCGCCACCAUCAUCCCUCUCCAUCAGUGGCUCCGUGCCCCUCACAGAGAAUUCAUCAUUCUGUUCAGAAUCCCCAGGACUCCCUGGAGGAGGAGGUCCUAGCCCUGCCUCCCCAGUUCCAGGACCUCCUCACGUGGCUCCUACCUACCAGUGCAGAAGCGGCACUAACCCCGGUGGUCAAUCAGGGAGCACCACCAAGCUUCUCAUUGGUCCAGGGAUGAGCAGCGAUGCCUCAAGCUAAGCCAAUCAAAGCCUUCCCUGGGAUUUUCUCAGGAAGUCCGCGGUGAGAUUCUGGGUCUCAGUACUGGGAAAGGGUGAGGCUGAGGCUGCCUGCUGUCUUGGGGGCCUCACCCUGCUACCAACAGGAAGCCACACACGGGGAAGCAGAAAUGAGACGGAGCCAGUGAGGGCAGGGGACAAAGGUGAGAUCCCAGAGAGACAGAUGCUGGGACAUCAUCCUUGGGUACUGGAUGCAACAGUGCCUGCAGACGGAGCCGCCCUCGGACAGUCCACAAUAGCAGCCAAUCCAUUCUGUGCGUGUCUGAGCUACUUUAAGUCGGGUUUUUGACUGUUGGAAUGAGAGUCCCAUCUUGGCUAGGCACCAUGGCACAACCAGCUGGGGAGGUGGAGGUAGGAAGAUUGCUUGAGGCCAAAAGUCCCAGAGCAGCCUGGGCAACCUAUCAAGACGCUGUCUUUACAAAAAGAAAAAACAAAAACAAAAACAAAACUAGCUAGAUGUGGUGGUGUGUGCCUGUGGCCCCAGCAACUGGGGAGGCUAAGGUGGGAGGAUCGCUUGAGCCCAGGAGGUGGAGGCUGCAGUGAACUACGAUGGCACCUCUGUACUCCAGCCUGGGUGACAGAGCAAGACCCUAUCU